rnacentral:rRNA from 1 species
AGCAGCCGCGGUAAUUCCAGCUCCAAUAGCGUAUAUUAAAGUUGUUGCAGUUAAAAAGCUCGUAGUUGAAUUUCGGGAUCGAAUUGUCGGUCGUGCUUCGGUACGCACUGGCAUUAUCGGUUUCUACCUUCUGAAGAACCGCGAUGUCAUUAAUUUGGUGUCGUGGGGAAUCAGGACUGUUACUUUGAAAAAAUUAGAGUGUUUAAAGCAGGCUUACGCUUGAAUACAUUAGCAUGGAAUAAUGAAAUAGGACGUUUGAUUCUAUUUUGUUGGUUUCUAGGAUCGACGUAAUGAUUAAUAGGGAUAGUUGGGGGCAUUAGUAUUCAAUUGUCAGAGGUGAAAUUCUUGGAUUUAUUGAAGACUAACUACUGCGAAAGCAUUUGCCAAGGAUGUUUUCAUUAAUCAAGAACGAAAGUUAGGGGAUCGAAGACGAUCAGAUACCGUCGUAGUCUUAACCAUAAACUAUGCCGACUAGGGAUCGGAUGAUGUUAAUUUUAUAAUGACUCA